CGACUAGUUGUUGGAUCAAGUAUUCGAAUCCCAUCCAAACCAAUCUGGAAAUCAAAUUACAAAACUCAACUGUAAUAUUGCAACAUAAAAGUAUUUGCAAAAGAGUGCAAAAGCCAAAUGACUAAAUGGCAUACAAACAUAAACAGGCAACCAUAAAGGGCAUUCACAGCAUAUUUAGGAACCACAGAACAGAACACCAACAGAAGACAAAUUAAGG
rnacentral:lncRNA from 1 species